rnacentral:rRNA from 1 species
GACGAACGCUGGCGGCGUGCUUAACACAUGCGAGUCGAACGGAAAGGCCCUGCUUUUGUGGGGUGCUCGAGUGGCGAACGGGUGAGUAACACGUGAGUAACCUGCCCUUGACUUUGGGAUAACUUCAGGAAACUGGGGCUAAUACCGGAUAGGAGCUCCUGCUGCAUGGUGGGGGUUGGAAAGUUUCGGCGGUUGGGGAUGGACUCGCGGCUUAUCAGCUUGUUGGUGGGGUAGUGGCUUACCAAGGCUUUGACGGGUAGCCGGCCUGAGAGGGUGACCGGCCACAUUGGGACUGAGAUACGGCCCAGACUCCUACGGGAGGCAGCAGUGGGGAAUAUUGCACAAUGGGCGGAAGCCUGAUGCAGCUACGCCGCGUGCGGGAUGACGGCCUUCGGGUUGUAAACCGCUUUCGCCUGUGACGAAGCGUGAGUGACGGUAAUGGGUAAAGAAGCACCGGCUAACUACGUG